AGGUGAUAUGAACCGUUAUAACCGGCGAUUUCCGAAUGGGGAAACCCAGUGUGAUUCGUCACACUAUCAUUAACUGAAUCCAUAGGUUAAUGAGGCGAACCGGGGGAACUGAAACAUCUAAGUACCCCGAGGAAAAGAAAUCAACCGAGAUUCCCCCAGUAGCGGCGAGCGAACGGGGAGCAGCCCAGAGCCUGAAUCAGUGUGUGUGUUAGUGGAAGCGUCUGGAAAGGCGCGCGAUACAGGGUGACAGCCCCGUACACAAAAAUGCACAUACUGUGAGCUCGAUGAGUAGGGCGGGACACGUGGUAUCCUGUCUGAAUAUGGGGGGACCAUCCUCCAAGGCUAAAUACUCCUGACUGACCGAUAGUGAACCAGUACCGUGAGGGAAAGGCGAAAAGAACCCCGG
rnacentral:rRNA from 1 species